rnacentral:sRNA from 1 species
CCGCUUGUGGUUGUGGUGUCCUCUGUCCCUGCAGUGAGGGCUCAGCGGCCGUGCCCAUUGAUCUACACCUGAGACUGUGCAUCAGGGGAGACUGUCCAGGAGGCCCCAGGCAGAGUCACAUCACCAUCCUGAUGCUGGGAGUGGGGCCGGCCCUCAUAAUUAGGUGGCUCAUGGUCCAGGGAUAAAGCUGCUUCCCAGAGCACCAGAGGCCGUUGACUUCGUGAAGAUGCAUCAACUGUAAAAUCUGCCUGGGAUGCUCAGAUUGCUCAACUAUCUAAGGAGAUGGUCUCCAGAGACCUUCAGAUUCAGACGCUGAAGGAAGAAGAGGUGAAGCUCAAGGCACAGGUGGCCCGAUCCCAGCAGGACAUUGAAAGGUUGCUGCCAAGCUGCAGGAGACAGAGCAGGCGCUACGGGAGCAGGAGGUGGUGCUGAAGGCCGUGACCCUGGAACGAGACCAGGCCGUGCAGGCCCUGAGGAUGCAUGGGCUCCCUGGACCAGGGACACAGAUGCUCCUCAUGCAGCAUGAAGAAGAAAUAAGUAAAGAUUUUCUAUCCAGUGAGAUCCAGCGGCUCCGAGAGCAGAACACAAGCUUGCGAAACGCGAUUGCCCAGAUGAGGAAAGAAAUGGAGGCUCUAAGCCAUCAGAUUCCUCCUCCCGUCCAGACAGCGGCAGAGAGCACAGAUGCAAACCAGCCUGACCCAGAGGCUGGGGGAGAUGCCGCCACUCCUGAUUAUGUUCUGGCCCUUGAAGCAGAAAUACGAACUCUAAAGCAUAAGUUUAAAACUCUGGAAAAGCAUCUAGAAGAUGUGUUGGAUCCUUUAAAGAUGUCCUCACCUCAUGCUGAGUCUCAGCCCAGCGUCCGCACCUUGACAGAGACGACUGGAGGGUCUGCCCAAGCUGGUCAAGCCGGAGGAUCUGUCCAAGCUGGCCCAGUAUCCUCCGGACUGGCACUCAGGAAGCUCGGGGACAGAGUGCAGCUCCUAAACCUGCUGGUGAGACGACUGAGACAGAAGGUGCCGCGGGAACCCCUGGAGCCGGCCGCUCUCCAGCGUGAGCUUCCCCGUGAGGUGGACCAGGUACACCUGGAGGUUUUGGAGCUGCAGAAGCAGGUGGCUGAGCUGGGGAAGCAUCUCAGGAUAGCCCAGCACGGGGGAGCGGAGCCUUCAGGCAGGAAGCAGCCCCCAGCCUCGGACGCCGUGGCCCUUGGGAGAGAGGUGGGUGCCUGCUAGCUCCUCCUGCCACCCGCCUGUCGAGGUUCCUGCCACAGAAACCAUCCUUGCCUGUGCUCUGCAAGUGUUGCUGUGUGUACGCCCUGGGAGCUCAGGUGGGACGAGGGCUGCAGUGAAGGCCGUGCCUGGAAGUGGGCCCUGCUCCACCCCUUCUCCCCAUUCCUCCGCCUUCUUCCUCCACACGCCUCCUCUUCUCCUGGUCCUUCACCUUGACGCCCUGUUGGCGGAGGGCGGGAUGGGCCCAUCCCAGUCCUCCCUUCAGCUGACAGCAUCUUGUGUUGGAAACUCACACACUGAAGGUGGCUCAUGUUUGCUUUAAUGCAGGGCCUUGACGGCCUGCUGAGGGGGCAUCUGCGUGCACAGCCCUGCCUGCCCCGUGCCUAGCUUUGGGCCCUCCCUGCUGCAUUCAGAGCCACACAGCUGCUCCAGGCCACGGCUCUCCUAUCCUGGUUUUGGUCAGGCCCUUGGCCCCGAGGGAGUGGCCCCAACUCCAUGGCUGGGUUUGAGCCGCAGCUCUGAGCUAUGGAGACGACCCCAGGUCCUGAUUCUGCAGCUAGGCAGAGUUGACCAGCAGGGCCCCCUUCUUCCUACCUAAGGCCAGAGGGAAAGGCUGUGAAGGACAGGCUGCCUGGCCUCCCUGACUUCGUACACUAGACUGUUGGUAACUGGGGUAACUGUAGUGACCUAUGACCUGUGGUGACCUAUAGUUACCAAUAGUGACCUAUGAAUCCACAGAAGGUUUUGGGGACAGUAGAUGAUGUCUGGAAGGCACAAAGUGGAAGACAGCGUGGAUCCCCAGGGCACCGUGCUUGGGGAGCAGAUCCCUAGGGACUCGGGCUGGAAUGGAGUGGACUGGGGAAGAUGCGGCCGUGGCUGUCUCAGGCUCCAGGACAGUGAGGAGCAGGCCAGAGCUGCCUUGGCUUGGGAUGGGCAAGACCAUAAGGAUGCCUCAGGGGGACAACAGGGCAGGUAUGGGAAGGCCGAGGGAGCCUGAGGCCCCAGCAGGUGCUCAGCCAGUGCGCACAGGAAGAGCUGAGCUGGUCGGUAAGAUAUUGAGCUGCACCUGCCCCUGUACCUGUUGGUAAGGAGGUGCUGUCCUCAGGGGUCCCCAGCACCCUAGCCCUCCUGGGCUCCCAGUCCAGCCACUCCAGGGUGGCUCCUGCCCGGUGGGCGCUGUGGCCCUUGGGCCAGCUGGCAGCACAGCCGGGGGUAAGCAUGUCUGUACCUCCACACGUCUCCCACCCACCCAAGCACCGUGUGUUCCCGGACACGGGUGGGCGCCUCCUUGGGCAGCGAGGGGCCCCAGGAGCUCUCACUGUUGGCCCUUGCGUAGUUCACUGUCUUCCCACUUGUUUAGAAUGAAGGGGCAAGAAUUUAUAUAAAUAAGCAGAAUUUUUUCUUUCUUUUUUUUUUUUUGAGACAGAGUCUCACACUGUCGCCCAGUCUGGAGUGCAUUGGCGCUGUCUUGGCUCACUGCAACCUCCUCAUCCCGGGUUCAAGCAAUUCUCCCACCUCAGCCCCCCGAGUAGCUGGGAUUACAGGUGCACCACGCCCGGCCAAUUUUUGUAUUUUCAGUAGAGACAGGGUUUCACCAUGUUGGCCAGGCUGGUCUCAAACUCCUGGUUUCAAGUGAUCUGCCUGCCUCAGCCUCCCAAAGUGGUGGGAUUACAGGCGUGGGCCACCGUGCCUGGCCCAAAUAAGCAGAAUUUUAAAUUGAGGAAUUAAAUCCCACAGCAGAUGGAGUAGGAGCUGAAGCCACCUGCGGCCCAAUCCCAGUUAUUGGAGAUAAGGUGCAGGCAGGGCAGACGCUCCAGGCUCUGUGUGUACGUGCAUGGAGGCGACAGUCGGGCUCCAGGCUCCUCCUGGGUCUGAGCAUCCUGUGGCCAGGCUCUCCACCCAGGCGAGGCCCACCUUGGCUCUGUCCUCUGCCAAGCAGCAUGGCUGAGCUCCUAGAGACAAGGGGAGGCCCAGGUCCUUGCUGCUUGCUGCUGGGAAAGGAGCCCAGAUGGAGAAGGGGCCAUGUUGGGGCUGGGCCCUCAGGUAGAGGAUCAAUGUGUCCGUUAUGUUGGGUAUAGAGAGAAGUGGGUAGAGCUGCGUGUGCAUCUGAUCCCAGCUCUGUCCUGAGAGGGCCCACAGCCCGGACUCAGCCAGCAGAUGUCAGUUCCACAGUUCCAGGUGCUGGUUCCAUUCCUGCUCUGCUCACAGGAGCCAGGGCUCCAGCAUGGAGGCAGGUUUGGAGGGCACAGGAACCAGCUGAAAGGGGUCCCCACUGACCAGAACUAGGCCAAUAGGCAGUGAUGUUGAAGACCACAAUCCAUUGACUCAACCAGGAAAUCAUGGGUCCAGGCUGAUAGCAAUGGACAGAUCAGUCGGGAACGGGGCACUCUUCCACACGAGAGUGCCAGCCAAGGAACGCGACAGGAACGGUGCACUAGGCAGUCACGGAUGGGUGCUGAACCAGAGGGAUUCCCAUCAGACGGACGGGAAGCAGCAUCUCCCCACACGUGACUUUUGAUUUCCAAGGGAAAUGCUGGCUUUCCAGUGGAGCAGCCUGUUGGACCCCAGCUGACCCGAGUGAUCAGGUCUCCCAUCGCCAGUGCUGGGAUGCGCCCAUGGCACAUGCCUCUGGGCGGGUUGCACUGAGACGGCACAGACUCACUCUCGGGGUCCCUGCCAAAAAUGCAGAACCUGAGCUUAUGCAUGAGGAAACCUCAGGCAGGCCCAAACAGAGGGACGUCUGCAGAUUAGCGGGUCUAGAUGCUCGGCGGGUGCCCAAACAUGGAAGCUGGGGAGCCACUCCAGUUAGGAGACCUGGGAGACCCCAUGUAGAAAUGCCAGGUGGGACCCUGGACCCUGCACAGGAGAGACAGUGUCAGGGCAUUAUCUGUAGAAACGCCACGUGGGACCCUGGACUCUGCACAGGAGAGACAGCGUCAGGGUGUUAUCUGGACGGUUGGUGACAUUUGCACAUGGGCCACGGACCAGGUCACGUAUUGUGUACACUCAUCCAAGUACUGAGGUGUGACACGGCACUGCGUCUCCAGCCUACCUCCUGUAGUGCAGGAAGCCUGUGCAGGGUGGGUGAGGAAGUGCACAGGGGUCCAGGGACUGUCCCACAGCACCCCUGAUGAAAGCUGGUCCCCUUCCCCAGCCCUAGCCAAGGAGCCAGGUCUGCAAAGCUGGGACCAGAUGUGUGCGGAAGCACGUGUUCCACCUCUCCCAUGGCAGAGGGAGAGCCUGUGGACGACAGUGGAGCAUUCUGCUCCCAGGCAGGUCCCACUGGGCUGAGCCGCACAGCCUGGCUUUGGACUUCUCUGACGGCACCACCCACAUCAGCUGCCUCUAGUCCUUAAAACACAAAACUUCCCCCAGUCACUGGCCACCAGGGCUGAGUUGGGGGAUGUGUUACGCCCCUGGUUCCACCGGGGGGCAGUGUUGGCCAUGGCAUUGGCGCUGGCUCUGCCAAGAGGCGUUGGAGUGGCUGUGUGGGGCAGUGAGUGCCGGCCCAGCCUGAUGGAACCCACUGUACCAGGCCCAGGCCCCAGCCUCUGAGAAGGACUUCUCUGUGUCACUCACACAUGUCCUCAGGAUGUGAAGACAUUUCAGCAGACCAAAGUUUCCUUCGAAUUUCCUUCGAAUUGUCCAGAUACUUGGAGACAUCUCCCCCUCACCAGGGGGGUGCCGGGGCAGUCCCAGGCAUGGGGGCAGAUGGGUGGACAGCUGCUGCUGCCCUGCUGGGGGUGGGCAGCCCUUGGAGCACACAGUGGUGAAGACAGUCUUGAAUAUGUCUCAGGCUGUAGAAAUCUUAUUUUGUGGAAAGAUUUUAGAGAAUCAUCAAAAUAAACUUUUACCAAAUAACGUUUUACCAG